rnacentral:rRNA from 1 species
AUUCCAGCUCCAAUAGCGAAUACUAAUUCUGCUGCAGUUAAAAAGCUCGUAGUUGAACUUCUGGUAGGACAGAUCCGGCCUUUGGAUGAAUGUCCAUUGUAUGCUGUGUGUCUUGUCUGGCCAUCCUUUAUGUCUUUUAGGCGUAAUCUUUCACUGUAAAAAAAUUAGGGUGUUUCAAGCAAAAGUUAUUUGGAAUAUAUUAGUAUGGGAUGAUAAGAUAGGCUCUUGAGUGCUACUUUGUUGGUUUAUACACUUAGAGAAUGAUUAACAGGGACAGUUGGGGGCAUUAGUAUUCAGUAGUCAGAGGUGAAAUUCUUGGAUUUACUGAAGACUAACUAGUGCGAAAGCAUUUGCCAAGGAUGUUUUCAUUG